GGGCUUUGCGGGGUGCUAUACAUGCAAGUCGAGCGAACAGACAAGGAGCUUGCUCCUUUGACGUUAGCGGCGGACGGGUGAGUAACACGUGGGUAACCUACCUAUAAGACUGGGAUAACUUCGGGAAACCGGAGCUAAUACCGGAUAAUAUUUCGAACCGCAUGGUUCGAUAGUGAAAGAUGGUUUUGCUAUCACUUAUAGAUGGACCCGCGCCGUAUUAGCUAGUUGGUAAGGUAACGGCUUACCAAGGCGACGAUACGUAGCCGACCUGAGAGGGUGAUCGGCCACACUGGAACUGAGACACGGUCCAGACUCCUACGGGAGGCAGCAGUAGGGAAUCUUCCGCAAUGGGCGAAAGCCUGACGGAGCAACGCCGCGUGAGUGAUGAAGGUCUUCGGAUCGUAAAACUCUGUUAUUAGGGAAGAACAUACGUGUAAGUAACUAUGCACGUCUUGACGGUACCUAAUCAGAAAGCCACGGCUAACUACGUGCCAGCAGCCGCGGUAAUACGUAGGUGGCAAGCGUUAUCCGGAAUUAUUGGGCGUAAAGCGCGCGUAGGCGGUUUUUUAAGUCUGAUGUGAAAGCCCACGGCUCAACCGUGGAGGGUCAUUGGAAACUGGAAAACUUGAGUGCAGAAGAGGAAAGUGGAAUUCCAUGUGUAGCGGUGAAAUGCGCAGAGAUAUGGAGGAACACCAGUGGCGAAGGCGACUUUCUGGUCUGUAACUGACGCUGAUGUGCGAAAGCGUGGGGAUCAACAGGAUUAGAUACCCCUGGUAGUCCACGCCGUAAACGAUGAGUGCUAAGUGUUAUGGGGGUUUCCGCCCCUUAGUGCUGCAGCUACGCAUUAACACUUCCGCCUGGGGGAGUACGACCGCAAG
rnacentral:rRNA from 1 species